rfam:Salmo salar isolate Sally breed double haploid chromosome ssa18, whole genome shotgun sequence.
UGCAUACAAUACUGUAAAUUGCUUUGGAUGAAAGCAUCUGCUAAAAUGGCAUAUU